GAGCCCAAGAUUGAAAGCUGGCGCCUUCGGCGUCCGCAUUGUAAUCUCAAGAAGUGUUUUCCGCUUCGGACCAUGCCUAAGUCCCUUGGAAAAGGGCAUCAUAGAGGGUGAUAAUCCCGUACAUGGCAUGGAGCGCCCGAAGCUUUGUGAUACGCUUUCUAAGAGUCGAGUUGUUUGGGAAUGCAGCUCAAAAUGGGUGGUAAAUGCCAUCUAAGGCUAAAUAUUGGGGAGAGACCGAUAGCGAACAAGUACAGUGAUGGAAAGAUGAAAAGAACUUUGAAAAGAGAGUUAAACAGUACGUGAAAUUGCCAAAAGGGAAGGGUAGGAGGUCAGAGAUGCGUCGCAGGAUUCAGCCUUGCUUUUGCUUGGUGUUUUUCCUGCGUUGCAGGCCAACGUCGGUUUUGGGCACUGGAGAAGGGUAGGAGGAACGUGGCACCUCUCGGGGUGUGUUAUAGCCUCCUACUGGAUACAGCGACCGAGACCGAGGAACGCAGCGUACUCGUAAGAGCGGGCCUUUUGGCACCUUUACGCUUAGGGCGUUGGCAUAAUGGCCCUCUACCACCCGUCUU
rnacentral:rRNA from 1 species